AAAACGACUCUUGGAAACGGAUAUCUCGGUUCUCGCAUCGAUGAAGAACGUAGUGAAAUGCGAUACUUGGUAUGAAUUGUAUAAUCUUGCGAACCAUCGAGUUUUUGAAUGCAAGUUACGCCCACAGCCAUUAGGCUAAGGGCAUGUCUGCCUGGGGGUCAUGC
rnacentral:rRNA from 1 species